rnacentral:misc_RNA from 1 species
UCCGGUUUGUCACCGGCGGUCUCCUUAGAGUUCCCACCAUUACGUGCUGGCAACAUAGGAUAAGGGUUGCGCUCGAUGCGGGACUUAACCCAACAUCUCACGACACGAGCUGACGACAGCCAUGCACCACCUGCACACCGGCCACAAGGGAAACCCCAUCUCUGAGGCGAUCCGGCGCAUGUCAAGCCCAGGUAAGGUUCUUCGCGUUGCAUCGAAUUAAUCCACAUGCUCCGCCGCUUGUGCGGGCCCCCGUCAAUUCCUUUGAGUUUCAGUCUUGCGACCGUACUCCCCAGGCGGCGAACUUAACGCGUUAGCUUCGAUACUGAAGGCCUGAUUGCCCCCAACAUCCAGUUCGCAUCGUUUACGGCGUGGACUAC